rnacentral:rRNA from 1 species
AUUGAACGCUGGCGGCAGGCCUAACACAUGCAAGUCGAGCGGAUGAAGGGAGCUUGCUCCUGGAUUCAGCGGCGGACGGGUGAGUAAUGCCUAGGAAUCUGCCUGGUAGUGGGGGAUAACGUCCGGAAACGGGCGCUAAUACCGCAUACGUCCUGAGGGAGAAAGUGGGGGAUCUUCGGACCUCACGCUAUCAGAUGAGCCUAGGUCGGAUUAGCUAGUUGGUGGGGUAAAGGCCUACCAAGGCGACGAUCCGUAACUGGUCUGAGAGGAUGAUCAGUCAAAACUGAAACGAGGAACGGGUCCGACCCCUAAGGGGGGGAGGAGGUGGGGAAUUUUGGAAAUGGGGGGAAAGCUGAUCCAACCAUGGCCGGGGGGUGAAAAAGGGUUUUGGGUUUGAAAAGCCUUUUAGUUGGGGGGAAGGGGAGGAAGGUAAUACCCUGGUUUUUUGAAGGUACCAAACGAAAAAGCCACCGCCAAAUUUGUG